rnacentral:lncRNA from 1 species
UAAUGUUUCUAGCCAUUGUGGCCUGUUAUUUGCUUUUUAAGUUUCCUGAUAAGAGAAGAAUAUUCAUCCUAAGUCUUUGAAGGCUAAGAUGACUCAGGAAUAAAAUCUGCAAUGUGAUUCCUCCCCUUCCUCCCACCUCAGACCUCACUUUAUUUCACAUGGUGAGGUUUGCAGGUGUGCAGCUUUUUCCACUAACAGCCUUCAGGGUUGGGCACACUUUUGUGGCCAUAACCGACUGAGGUUGUUACUAAAAUAAAAUAAGAAAUAAGGAGGUUACCUUGCUGCUCCUCUGUUACAUUACCUGAGAUAUAAAUAAUGUUUGCAAAGGGAAAACAAAAACACUGUCACCUGAGGAUGAAUUCUUACCCUUCUCCGUGCUUUAAAUUUUUGCAGAAUUAUAAAGUGGGAAGGGUUUAGGGCAGAGAAAGCAACCUUUUAAAACAAAAGUUCAAAUCAAUAAUAAUUAACAUUCACUGGCCUUCCUUCUUCUGCUAAUAACUGAAGACAAGUACUAAUUAGAGAAGCCUCAAGUGUCUGGAUUUCUGGAUGUGCCAGAUGGCUGCAUGAGAACUGUGCAUCGUGCCAGGAAAAAGCCUGGGUUGCUCUUAGCUACCACCUCUCCUCCAUUGUGAUCUUGUCUGAGGACCCUUAAACAUGCCCAUCACUGUGCACUGAGGCUUUUUCUUUGUUCUUUCUUCUCUUGUCUUCCCCACUUCUGAUUUCAGGAGGUACAUUUCUGCCAUGUUUAGUGAGUGCUCUUGUGAGCUUUUGUUUUUACUUCUUACUUAACAAACUCAUUCUGUUCGUCUUUUUCUUUUCAGAUUUCCUUUGACUUCUUAUGUUUUUGUCUGAUCUCACUAGAUCCUUCCCUCUCUCCCCAUUUGUUCUUUUUCAAGAUCACACAGAAUCAGCACAGAAACUUUCAGUUGUAACAUUAAGAUAGUUCUGCCUCUUCCGUUUUGUUUUUUUUUUUUAACUCUUUUCACAGAUUGUCUGAAAACAUAUGUUUUCUUCUUUGGGUUUAUACUUCAAAUAUUUUCUUCCUCUGUGAUUAACUCUGCUAACCAACUCUGAGAAAGCUUUGAUUUUUGUAUGGAAAUUUUCAAUCCUGUUGAG